rnacentral:rRNA from 1 species
UGGGGAAUAUUGGACAAUGGGCGAAAGCCUGAUCCAGCCAUGCCGCGUGUGUGAAGAAGGUCUUCGGAGUGUAAAGCACUUUAAGUUGGGAGGAAGGGCAGUAAGCGAAUACAUUGCUGUUUUGACGUUACCGACAGAAUAAGCACCGGCUAACUCUGUGCCAGCAGCCGCGGGAAUACAGAGGGUGCAAGCGUUAAUCGGAAUUACUGGGCGUAAAGAGCGCGUAGGUGGUUCGAUAGGUUGAAUGUGAAAGCCCCUGGCUCAAACAAGUAACUGCAUCCACAACUGGCGAGCUAGAGUAGAGCAGAGGGUGUUGGUAGUUCCUGUGUAGCUGUUAAAUGCUUAGAUAUAGGACGGAACACCAGUAGCGUAGGCGACCACCUUGCCUCAUACUGACACUGAGGUGCGAAAGCGUGGCGAGCAAACAGG